rnacentral:rRNA from 1 species
UACGUAGGGGCCGAGCGUUGUCCGGAGUUAUUGGGCGUAAAGCGCACGUAGGCGGAUUUGUAAGUCAGGGGUGAAAUCCCGGGGCUCAACCUCGGAACUGCCUUUGAUACUGCAAAUCUCGAGUCCGGAAGAGGUGAGUGGAAUACCCAGUGUAGAGGUGAAAUUCGUAGAUAUUGGGUAGAACACCGGUGGCGAAGGCGGCUCACUGGCUCGUAACUGACGCUCAUGCACGACAGCGUGGGGAUCAAACAGG